UACAGAAAUGUGAAAGUAGGUCACUAGGUCAAAAUCAAGGUCAACUCAUGUCAAGGUUCAUCUUGCCCCUCAAAAAUAUACAUGUGGUCCAAGUUUGAAUGUUGUAGUUACUGACAAGAACAUUUUAAAAGCUUUUCCCUAUAUAAGUCUAUAUGAACCAUGUGACCCCCGGGGCGGGGCCAUAUUUAACCCUAGGAGGAUAAUUUGAACAAACUUGGUAGAGAACCACUAGAUGAUGCUACAUUACAAGUAUCAAAGCCCUAGGCUUUGUGGUUUGGACAAGAAGAUUUUCAAAGUUUUUCCCUAUAUAAGUCUAUGUAAACCAUAUGACCCCCAGGGCGGGGCCAUAUUUGACCCUAGGGGUAUAAUUUGAACAAUCUUAGUUGAAGACCACUAGAUGAUGUCACAUACAAAAUAUCAAAGCCCUAGGCCCUGUGGUUUGGACAAGAGGUUAUUCAAAGUUUUUCCCUAUAUAAGUCUAUAUAAACCAUGUGACCCCCAGGGCGGGGCCAUAUUUGACCCCAGAGAAAUAAUUUGAAUCAUCUUGGUAGAGGACCACUAGAUGAUGCUUCAUACUAAAUAUCAAAGCCCUAGGCUCUGUGGUUUUGGACAAGAAGGUUUUCAAAGUUUUUCCCUAUAUAAAUCUAUAUAAAUUAUAGAAAUAAACAAAGGGCCAUAACUCACUCAUAAAUUGUUGAACCAGUCUGUUUUUCAGGGGGACACAACUAGGGUACCAAUACAUCAUUCUGACAAAGUUUGGUCAAAAUCCCCCCAGUAGUUUCUGAGGAGAUGCGAUAACGAGAAAUUGUUAACGGACGGACGGACGGACGGACGGAAUGACGGACGGACGGACCACGGACGCAGAGUGAUUUUAAUAGCCCACCAUCAUCAUGAUGGUGGGCUAAAAAAGGGGAAUUUUCAUUUGUGUUGAAAUAAACUAUAGUUUCAAGUUUAUUGAUAAAUUCAGGGCCCAUAAGAGCAUCUGACAUGACAUAUAACACAAUGUAGCAUAUCAAUACCAGAUAACCAAAUAAAUUUUUCAAAUGUGGAGGAUAAGACAUCCAAUAGACUACCAAAAUUUACAACAGACAUUAGGUCCCUUCUUAAACAAAUCGGUGAGUGGCUGUUUUUUUAUUUCUGUCAAAGUCUGACAUUUGCAGUCACUGUUACAUUUGACCUGUCACAAUAAAAACAAACUGUAAAAAACAAUGUAUGCAUUGGACUAGUCCCUUCCCAAAGCAUAAAAUCAAACCCUGACUGACUAGAAGAUGGAAAACUCAACACUACCCGGCCAAACAAACAGAAUGCAAAUCAUUUACAGACUAACAUUCAACAGCGUUGUUGUGCAGAAUAAUAAAGCGCUUCGAUGAUUCUGAUUUAUCAAGGGAAGUUACUCCAACCGGUGUCGAUUAGGGGUGACUAUUGAGGCCAAUUUUGACUAUUGCAAUACUAUUGAUAUUGCUUAAAAACUAUUGCGAUACUAUUCUAUUGCAGGUUACUAUUGCGAUACUAUUGCAAUAGUUAUCAGCCAUCAUAUUUUAUACAGUAAAGUUACCAACUGGCAUUGUUACAGUGUAACAGACGGCACUGUUUAUAAUUGCUGUUAACACACAUUGAGAUGUUUGUAUAACUGAAACGGACAGAAAUAAUUCUAACAUUAAAUAUUUCUUGCCUUCCUUGGCUUUGGAACAAUAAGUAAAACAAUAAACCUAUGCAAGGUAUACUCAAACGAA